GCUUGAUUUAGAUAUUACACAAUGUAUACAUAUUUUAAGACAUCAUGCUGUACACCAUAAUAUAUACAAUUUUUAUUUGUCAAUUAAAACAUUUUUUAAAAAACACAUGAAUCUCAUGGUACAUGGACUUGCAUUAAAGAUUGGGGUUCAAAUUCUGCCCCUUACUACUUACCUAGCAUGGUAAGUAACGAUCUUGGUGUUUUGCCUUUUCUUUCCUUUGCCCCAUCUCUCUACUGCUAUUUAGUUGAGACCUCCAUCAUCUUUCACCAAGAUCAACAUAACAGUCUCCUAACUGGUCUCUCUGUCUCCAAUCUUACCCUCUACAGUCUGUCAUCAAUCCUAAUGAUAAAUGGAAAUGUGGUCAUCCAAAGUCCUCCAUCAAAACCCUUCAGUGACUCCCCAUUGGCCAGAGGGCAAAGUUGGAGCUUCAAAGCAAUGAUUCAUAGUUAAUUCAAUGAUCUUUGUAAUCCUUUAUGAUCAGUUUCCUCUUUUCACUCAGUGGCAGAUACUUGUAGUUGUCCUCAAAUUUCAUACUCUCAUUUUUCUUUAUUAAUAUAACCACACAUUUUUAACUGAGCUCAUUGAUCAUCAUAACAGAGUCUAUUGAAAGUCCUCAGCAGGCGGUGUGACGAUGUGACCAGCUCUGGCCAAGGAGCUGUAGGCAGAAGUGUCUUGCAGCAGCUCCUGUAAAUCUUAAAAGACAGCUGGUGCGUGUCUUUUUUCCUUUUUUUUUCCCUUCCCCCUUCCUGCUGCGCUGAAUAUGGAUAUGGUGAGUGAAUCUAGAGCAGCCAUUUGGAGGUAUGAAGAGAUCUUGGAAAUAGAGGCCAUGUGUGUUGAAACAAGACCGAACAACUCCAAGUUCCUGAAGACUUCAUUUCACCAACCCAGAACCUCCUUGAUCAUCACAGUGGUCGAACCAUUUUACAUUUUCACCAGCAAUGAAGGAGGGUUCCUGUUGCUCUACCAUUUGGUACUGUCAGCGUUUUGGAUAUUAGCCGUCCUAAUAGGUGCAAUGAAUGUGUCCUGCUCUUACUUGGGAUAGGUUCAAAAAUAAAUGCAAUUGAAAAAAAAUCUCCUGGGGCCAGGCGUGGUGGCUCACGCCUGUAAUCCUAGCACUUUGGGAGGCCGAAGUGGGCAGAUCAUGAAGUCAAGAGAUCGAGACUAUCCUGGCCAACAUGGUGAAACCUCAUCUCUCCUAAAAAUACAAAAAAUUAGCUGAGUAUGGUGGCACAUGUCUGUAAUCCCAGCUACUCGGGAGGCUGAGGCAGGAGAAUGGCUUGAACCCGGGAGGCAGAGGUUGCAGUGAGCCAAGAUCGUGCCACUGCACUCCAGCCUGGGUGACAGGGCUCAGACUCCGUCUAAACAAACAAAAAAAAUCUCCUGGAAGUCCCAUUUGAUCUUGGUUACAUGAGCUUACUAGAGAAUUUUGUUGUUCCCAACAUUAGCUGAGAAAUGUACUCUAAGAAGUGAAUAGACUAAAGUGGAACCAGGGUGCAGUGGAGAACGAGAGCUGUUAUCUAGAAAACCUUUCUCAGGCAUGUUUCAGCACACUCUGCUCCUGACGAUGGCUCUAUCAUCAAAGAAUUCUGUGGUCAGGUGUAUGGGAUAUGCUGCAUAGGCUCCCUAUGAGCCUCCAAAUUGUAAGUUAAAGGCUCUGAGAGCUUGGCAGUAAGUAGAAGACUCCUGGUCACAUUUGUUUAACCCAGUGUUUCCCAAACUCAUUUGGCCUUGGAACUCUAUU
rnacentral:lncRNA from 1 species